UUAAAUUGAAGAGUUUGAUCAUGGCUCAGAUUGAACGCUGGCGGCAGGCCUAACACAUGCAAGUCGAACGGUAACAGGAAGCAGCUUGCUGCUUCGCUGACGAGUGGCGGACGGGUGAGUAAUGUCUGGGAAACUGCCUGAUGGAGGGGGAUAACUACUGGAAACGGUGGCUAAUACCGCAUAACGUCGCAAGACCAAAGAGGGGGACCUUCGGGCCUCUUGCCAUCAGAUGUGCCCAGAUGGGAUUAGUUUGUUGGUGAGGUAACGGCUCACCAAGGCGACGAUCCCUAGCUGGUCUGAGAGGAUGACCAGCCACACUGGAACUGAGACACGGUCCAGACUCCUACGGGAGGCAGCAGUGGGGAAUAUUGCACAAUGGGCGCAAGCCUGAUGCAGCCAUGCCGCGUGUAUGAAGAAGGCCUUCGGGUUGUAAAGUACUUUCAGCGGGGAGGAAGGUGUUGCGGUUAAUAACCGCAGCAAUU
rnacentral:rRNA from 1 species